rnacentral:rRNA from 1 species
CAGCCGCCGCGGUAAAACGGAGGGAGCUAGCGUUGUUCGGAAUUACUGGGCGUAAAGCGCACGUAGGCGGUUAUUCAAGUCAGAGGUGAAAGCCCGGGGCUCAACCCCGGAACUGCCUUUGAAACUAGAUGACUGGAAUCUUGGAGAGGUCAGUGGAAUUCCGAGUGUAGAGGUGAGAUUCGUAGAUAUUCGGAAGAACACCAGUGGCGAAGGCGACUGACUGGACAAGUAUUGACGCUGAGGUGCGAAAGCGUGGGGAGCAAACAGGAUUAGAUACCCCCGUAGUCCCUGUCUCUUAUAC